GACGAACGCUGGCGGCGUGCCUAAUACAUGCAAGUCGAACGCUUCUUUCCUCCCGAGUGCUUGCACUCAAUUGGAAAGAGGAGUGGCGGACGGGUGAGUAACACGUGGGUAACCUACCCAUCAGAGGGGGAUAACACUUGGAAACAGGUGCUAAUACCGCAUAACAGUUUAUGCCGCAUGGCAUAAGAGUGAAAGGCGCUUUCGGGUGUCGCUGAUGGAUGGACCCGCGGUGCAUUAGCUAGUUGGUGAGGUAACGGCUCACCAAGGCCACGAUGCAUAGCCGACCUGAGAGGGUGAUCGGCCACACUGGGACUGAGACACGGCCCAGACUCCUACGGGAGGCAGCAGUAGGGAAUCUUCGGCAAUGGACGAAAGUCUGACCGAGCAACGCCGCGUGAGAGAAGAAGGUUUUCGGAUCGUAAAACUCUGUUGUUAGAGAAGAACAAGGACGUUAGUAACUGAACGUCCCCUGACGGUAUCUAACCAGAAAGCCACGGCUAACUACGUG
rnacentral:rRNA from 1 species